rfam:Myotis davidii contig315385, whole genome shotgun sequence.
GGUGGUUCUGGGGUGACGCUCCCCAGAAUCGGGCUCCCGCCUCUCUGGUUCUGGUGUGUCACCUGAGAACGGCA